GACGAACGCUGGCGGCGUGCUUAACACAUGCAAGUCGAACGGAAAGGCCCCUUUGGGGGUACUCGAGUGGCGAACGGGUGAGUAACACGUGAGUAACCUGCCCUUGACUUCGGGAUAACUUCAGGAAACUGGGGCUAAUACCGGAUAGGAAUCCUUGCUGCAUGGUGGGGGUUGGAAAGCUUCGGCGGUUUUGGAUGGACUCGCGGCUUAUUAGCUUGUUGGUGGGGUAGUGGCUUACCAAGGCUUUGACGGGUAGCCGGCCUGUGAGGGUGACCGGCCACAUUGGGACUGAGAUACGGCCCAGACGCCUACGGGAGGAAGCAGUGGGGAAGAUUGCACAAUGGGCGGAAGCCUGAUGCAGCAACGCCGCGUGCGGGAUGACGGCCUUCGGGUUGUAAACCGCUUUCAGCAGGGGCGAAGCUUGUGGUGACGGUACCUGCAGAAGAAGCACCGGCUAACUACGUG
rnacentral:rRNA from 1 species